CUGGCUCAAGAUGGUGUGAUAAAUGAAGAAGCUCUUUCUGUUACUGAACUAGAUCGAGUCUAUGGAGGUCUUACAACUAAAGUCCAAGAAUCUCUAAAGACACAGGAGGGACUUCUUAAAAAUAUUCAGGUCUCACAUCAGGAAUUUUCGAAAAUGAAGCAAUCUAAUAAUGAAGCUAACUUAAGAAAAGAAGUUUUGAAGAAUUUAGCUACUGCAUAUGACAACUUUGUUGAACUUGUAGCUAAUUCGAAGGAAGACACAAAGUUUUACAAUGAGUUGACUGAAAUCCUGGUCAGGUUCCAGAACAAAUGCAGCGAUAUAGUUUUGGCAUGGAAGACAGAAAGAGAUGAACUCUUAAAGUAAGUCUGUUUUGUGUAUCAAAUUGUACUUAAAGAAUUUUCUUUUAAAAAAUCAUGUGGAGACUUUUGGUGUGGUCACAGAAAUGAUAAAACAGUUCAGGUGGCAGAUCUCAGGAAGUGCCAGUAAAUACAAGCAAUUUAUUUUGAAGUGGCAAAUAGGUUUCUUACAUAAAACUAGAGCUAUAGAACAUGGAGGAGACAGCGUGAAUAGCUCAGAGAA
rnacentral:lncRNA from 1 species